GAUGAACGCUGGCGGCGUGCCUAAUACAUGCAAGUCGAGCGAACAGACGAGGAGCUUGCUUCUCUGACGUUAGCGGCGGACGGGUGAGUAACACGUGGAUAACCUACCUAUAAGACUGGGAUAACUUCGGGAAACCGGAGCUAAUACCGGAUAAUAUUUUGAACCGCAUGGUUCAAUAGUGAAAGACGGUCUUGCUGUCACUUAUAGAUGGAUCCGCGCUGCAUUAGCUAGUUGGUAAGGUAACGGCUUACCAAGGCAACGAUGCAUAGCCGACCUGAGAGGGUGAUCGGCCGCACUGGAACUGAGACACGGUCCAGACUCCUACGGGAGGCAGCAGUAGGGAAUCUUCCGCAAUGGGCGAAAGCCUGACGGAGCAACGCCGCGUGAGUGAUGAAGGUCUUCGGAUCGUAAAACUCUGUUAUUAGGGAAGAACAUAUGUGUAAGUAACUGUGCACGUCUUGACGGUACCUAAUCAGAAAGCCACGGCUAACUACGUG
rnacentral:rRNA from 1 species